CCUACGGGGUGCUGCAGUGGGGGAUAUUGCACAAUGGGGGGAACCCUGAUGCAGCGACGCCGCGUGUGGGAAGACGGCCUUCGGGUUGUAAACCUCUGUCGCAGGGGACGAAGGCGAUGACGGUACCCUGUGAGGAAGCCACGGCUAACUACGUGCCAGCAGCCGCGGUAAUACGUAGGUGGAGAGCGUUGUCCGGAAUUACUGGGGGGAAAGGGCGCGUAGGCGGUAUGUCAAGUCAAAGGUGAACUCCCCGCGCUCAACGUGGGAACUGCCUUUGAAACUGGCAAACGGGAGUGUGGUAGAGGAUAGUAGAAUUCCAGGUGUAGGGGUGAAAUCCGUAGAGAUCUGGAGGAACAUCAGUGGCGAAGGCGACUAUCUGGCACAUAACUGACGCUGAGGAGCGAAAGCGUGGGUAGCAAACAGGAUUAGAUACCCUUGUAGUC
rnacentral:rRNA from 1 species